GACGAACGCUGGCGGCGUGCUUAACACAUGCAAGUCGAACGGAAAGGCCCUGCUUGCAGGGUACUCGAGUGGCGAACGGGUGAGUAACACGUGGGUGAUCUGCCCUGCACUUCGGGAUAAGCCUGGGAAACUGGGUCUAAUACCGGAUAGGAGCCAUUUUUAGUGUGAUGGUUGGAAAGUUUUUUCGGUGUAGGAUGAGCUCGCGGCCUAUCAGCUUGUUGGUGGGGUAAUGGCCUACCAAGGCGGCGACGGGUAGCCGGCCUGAGAGGGUGGACGGCCACAUUGGGACUGUGAUACGGCCCAGACUCCUACGGGAGGCAGCAGUGGGGAAUAUUGCACAAUGGGCGCAAGCCUGAUGCAGCGACGCCGCGUGGGGGAUGACGGCCUUCGGGUUGUAAACUCCUUUCGCUAGGGACGAAGCUUUUUGUGACGGUACCUAGAUAAGAAGCACCGGCUAACUACGUG
rnacentral:rRNA from 1 species